GGCCCACCUACUAUCGAAGCACAAGCAGGAGCCAUGCAAGCUGCUGGAGAAGAAAAUGAGCAGCAUUGGGAAUCGCCUAGAUGGAAGAGACACCCCACCCCCUUCACAGGCCACAACAAGGAAGGCCAACACAAUUGAACUGAAGCCUGCAUCACAAGCUACCCAGCACCCUUUAAUAUCUUUUGUCUCCUUGCAUAUUGCAAAUGCCUGGAAGACCAUUGUGGUGUGGGGAUAAUCAACUGAGAGACACAUCAUCCUCUGGAACCACUGGGCCAAGCAGGGUUGCCAUGGUCGAUGGGUUUCAGCAGCGCUUCCAGACUGUGAGCAGGAUAAGGGAGAGACGGCCACUCCUGAAAGGUUACCACUGAGCCCCUAGCAGCAGAACACUGUCUGAUCUGGUGAAGAUGAGCCCCUCAGGUUGAGAGACACUCAACGUUCGGCUGCAGAAGAGCUGCCUCCUCAAAGCGCAGUCAACCUUUGGAUGAAGCAAGGCUUUCAGGACCUUCACUUACUGAUGAGGGACGACUCAAAUACUACAGACCCUCAUGGUGCUGAUAGAUCCAAGGAUUUCCACCAACAAUUCCCCUGGCAAAAGGAAGAACAGCCACGCCAUCAAGUCAGUGAACAGUAUCGCAAUGCAGAUGAAUUGCUUUUGCUCUUCCAGUUCCUUUACCUGGACUGAGUCUUAAGUCAUCACUACCAGUACCACCACCACCACCUGUCUCAGGCUAUCUUCUCCCUAAGAAUCAUUGCUUGCUAUGUCAUAUACGAUACAGCAGAAAUAAAUAUGCAAACCUGAA